rnacentral:rRNA from 1 species
CAGGCAAGAGCUCAGAUUUNAAGCCUUUUUGGCAUUGUAUUCUGAAGUCAGUUUCCUGAGUAUCGGUGUUUAAGUCUUCCGGAAAGGAGCGCCAUGGAGGGUGAUAGCCCCGUACGGCACCUCACUCAUUGUAGGAUUCUGACGUGGAGUCGAGUUGUUUGGGAAUGCAGCUCAAAAGGGUGGUAUGCUCCAUCUAAAGCUAAAUAUCUGUGAGAGACCGAUAGCGAACAAGUACUGUGAAGGAAAGAUGAAAAGAACUUUGAAAAGAGAGUGAA